CGGCGGCGGGAGGCAGGAUGA
rnacentral:misc_RNA from 1 species